rnacentral:rRNA from 1 species
UACAGAGGUGGCAAGCGUCGUUCGGAAUUACUGGGCGUAAAGGGCUCGUAGGCGGCCAACUAAGUCGGACGUGAAAUCCCUCGGCUUAACCGGGGAGCUGCGUCCGAUACUGGAUGGCUUGAGUUCGGGAGAGGGAUGCGGAAUUCCAGGUGUAGCGGUGAAAUGCGUAGAUAUCUGGAGGAACACCGGUGGCGAAGGCGGCAUCCUGGACCGACACUGACGCUGAGGAGCGAAAGCCAGGGGAGCAAACGGG